rnacentral:misc_RNA from 1 species
GAUGAAGAACGUAGCGAAAUGCGAUAAGUAAUGUGAAUUGCAGAAUUCAGUAAAUCAUCGAAUCUUUGAACGCACCUUGCGCCUUUUGGUAUUCCGAAAGGCACACCUGUUUGAGCGUCAUGAAUACCUCAAUCUCCAUCUUUUCUUCGGAUUGAUGGGUGACUUGGAUGUUGAGCCCUGCUGGUAUGCUAUAUCAGCUGGCUUUAAACUUAUUAGCCGGCUCUGUACUGGAUCGGUUUGACUCGACGUGAUAAUAUUAUCGUUGAGGAUGCAUGUCUCAUGCAGCCGGAAAGUAUCAAAGCAGCUUCUAGCUUGCCUUUAGUGCACUUUUACAUUUUAGACCUCAGAUCAGGUGGGACUACCCGCUGAACUUAAGCAUAUCAAUAAGCGGAGGA